rnacentral:rRNA from 1 species
AUUAGAUUAAAAACCAAUGCCCUUCGGGGCUCUCUGGUGAUUCAUGAUAACUUCUCGAAUCGCAUGGCCUUGCGCCGGCGAUGGUUCAUUCAAAUUUCUUCCCUAUCAACUUUCGAUGGUUGGGUAUUGGCCAAACAUGGUUGCAACGGGUAACGGAGGGUUAGGGCUCGACCCCGGAGAAGGAGCCUGAGAAACGGCUACUACAUCCAAGGAAGGCAGCAGGCGCGCAAAUUACCCAAUCCCGACUCGGGGAGGUAGUGACAAUAAAUACUGAUACAGGGUUCUUUCGGAUCUUGUAAUUGGAAUGAGUACAAUUUAAAUCCCUUAACGAGGAACAAUUGGAGGGCAAGUCUGGUGCCAGCAGCCGCGGUAAUUCCAGCUCCAAUAGCGUAUAUUAAAGUUGUUGUGGUUAAAAAGCUCGUAGUUGAACCUUGGGCCUGGCUGGCCGGUCCGCCUCACCGCGUGUACUGGUCCGGCCGGGCCUUUCCCUCUGAGGAACCCUAUGCCCUUCACUGGG